AUGAAAAGAGAAUUUUCUUCUGAAGAAUUAAGCAAAGCUUCAGAAAGGAAGAUGGCUAUUUCAAAAUGAGAUUGAAGAUAAAGCAGUGUGAUUUCUCAGUACCUUGGAUCAGUGAGACUGAAACCAGGCUACACCCGCUUUUGUUGCUGCAAAAUGUGAAGUUGUUUUUGCAGUCAAGGAUGUGCACUUACAAAGUCCUUAUCAGGACUAGCCCAGAAGGCUGCACAGCUUUGCAGAACCUGCUCCUUACAACAGCCCCUAUUGCAAAUCCUUCGAAAGCAGCAACUGAAGAGAUUCCCCUGCAGAGAGGGCUUGCAGACAGAGGGUGCAAAGGAGCAGCAGAUCACGCACAGCAGGUUUCUCAGCCCACAGGACAUUCCUUUGAAAGCCCAAUAGCUGUACACGCUAUUUCUAAUUUCAGCUGCAGUGAUUUAAAAGGCAUGAAGAUUGGUCUCCCCUGAAGUUGUCGGGAUGCCAGGCAUCGCCUCGUGGGGCAUGCUUUUGGUGUAAACUCUGCCAGGGUUUAUGAGGAAUCUUUACAGAGCAGAGGAAAUCAUGCUGGAGC
rnacentral:lncRNA from 1 species